UUUUUUUUCUCUUGAAAGAUUUCAGUGCUAUAGUAUCAUAGAGUAUCCUGAGUUGGAAGGAACCCACAAGGAUCAUGGAGUCCACCCCCGGCCCCACAAAGCACCACCCAAACCUUAUGGCUGAGAGCAGUGUCCCAGCGCUCCCUGAGCAUCUGAGGGCAGAGCACUUUCCUAACAUCCAGCCUGAGCCUCUCCCCAAGGGCAUGUAGUUAUGCCUUGUAAAUAACUACCCAUGGAAUUGUGCAAUUUUCUAUUCCUUUUGCUGGAUGAUGGGGGUCAAGGAUGCUGAAGUGAAAAGAGGCCUCACACAGGGAUGGGAGCAGAGGGAUUUGAUUGCACGCAAGCCCUGCAGCAGGGAAGAGCGUUGUUCUAGGAGCAUCAUUGCCCGAAACAGCACUGCAAGCACAGAUCCCUGAGGUGUGAGGCUGGGAACAUCAACAGCAGCAAAUUGCAGAGUCCUGGAGCUCCCCUGAAAGGGCCAUCAUUAACAGCAGGUUUAAAAGCAAAUCUAAUGGAUGUUGGAGAAACAAACCACCUUUAUCCUGGGCAUUUGCUGUUCAGUCCCACUGCUCCUGCAGAGCUCAGGCUGCACAGGCACAGCACUGCUCAGCUCUUGGCUCCUGUUCAGAUCUCAAGACGUCUUCGGUGAUAAGGAGCGUUGUGGCUUCCAAUGAGACCGAUGGGCUCUUGCACAGAAGGCACGACAUCUUCUGUUGUGUUGGCUGGAAGUAAAGCCACGAGGCACAGCCAAAACCCAGCUUUCUGACUGCAAUAAAGUGCCAAAAUGUCACUCCUCCUUCUGUGCUUCUCGCUUGAGCGUUCCUUCCCUUUCUGUGCAUAUCACUCGCUCUGUGGUUCGUCAGCUCCAGGUGGGCUGUGCUGCCUUCACUGCCUGGUGGAGCCCGAGUGGAUCUGCUUGAGGAUGUGCUUCAAUCUCACCUAUAUUGUAUUCCUGGAUAUAGAUUGGCUUCAGCACAUGUCAAGUCCUUUGCUGAGCCAAGGCCCGUGCCAACACAUCAAGAAUUUGGACUCCUUUACGCUGCUAUUGUCCUUCAGAACUAAGCAGUGCCUUUUCCCAUGUAUUAGAAAGGGAAAAAAAAUCAAUUUUGUAGCAUAGUGAAGAAGCUGGGUGAAUGUUUAGAGUGGCAAAGCCCAAGGCAGUCUGUAUUACAUUCUGCUAACUCCAUCAGGCAUAGGUGUUGCUGGAGGUGAGUGUGCAACAGGGCUGUCUUCAAUAAGAAGCUCAGGAUAUCUAGGGAGCUUUAGCUGUGAAGGCUCCUGUAAGGUUUUCAUAACUCCUGCCAAAGGAGAAAGACUUAAAAACCUUCCUUUGCCUUGCUCUCUUUCUGUCUAUUGUAUUAUUUAAUCUCACCUUCGCUCAGCAGAGUUCUUAUGUGUUGAAAGGAAAUGAAAUCUCUGCUGUGUUAUUAUUGCUCUCUGCUUAGAUAAAUAGCGUUGUGCUGGAUUCAGGGCAAGGCUCGCCAGCUUUUGCCUUAUAAAUAUGCUGCUCUGGGCAGCACGGCUCUGAGAGUGAAAAGUGCUCUGAGGUAUUGCUGAGAGAUCUUCCCAUCUCUGCCACUGGAACUGAGUCCUUUAACAAGUGAACAUUCAGGG